GUGCUCGUUUUGGCAGCACAUAUGCUAAAAUUGGUACAAUGUAGAGAUUAGCAUAGCCCCUACACGAAGAUGACACACAAAAAAGUAGAAGGAGUAGUU
ensembl:snRNA U6 U6 spliceosomal RNA